GCCAGCUGCGAUAGCACGUUGAAUACAACAGUUCCCAACGAUUAACUCAAGUUAAGCAACGUUGCGCGUUGUUAGUAUCCGGAGGGUGACUUUCUGGGCAACCGCUUACUGCUGGUU
rfam:Asian citrus Psyllid, Diaphorina citri - Florida Strain, whole genome shotgun sequence.